rnacentral:rRNA from 1 species
AGUGAACGCUGGCGGCGUGCCUAAUACAUGCAAGUCGAACGGACAAGUAAGAGCUUGCUCUUAUGAGUUAGUGGCGCACGGGUGAGUAAUGUAUAGCUAAUCUGCCCCAUAGUGGAGGACAACAGUUGGAAACGACUGCUAAUACUCCAUACUCCAUUUAUAUAUAAGUAUAAAUGGGAAAGUCGAACCCUAUAUAUUGUUUAUUUAUCAAAUACCUACGGCGCAAUCGAAAGUUGCGGUGUGCUUUAGGUGAGUCAAGGGAGCGUAGCUCCUUGUCGCAAAGACGGACUUUGUUCGUCUGCGAAGUAAAUAAUAUAUAGGGUUUCUCGCUAUGGGAUGAGGCUAUAUCGUAUCAGCUAGUUGGUAAGGUAAUGGCUUACCAAGGCUAUGACGCGUAACUGGUCUGAGAGGAUGAUCAGUCACACUGGAACUGAGACACGGUCCAGACUCCUACGGGAGGCAGCAGUAGGGAAUAUUGCUCAAUGGGGGAAACCCUGAAGCAGCAACGCCGCGUGGAGGAUGACACUUUUCGGAGCGUAAACUCCUUUUCUUGGGGAAGAAAUUUGACGGACCCAAGGAAUAAGC